rnacentral:lncRNA from 1 species
UUCAUCCCCCCCUUCUCCUUUAAUAUCGUCCUCUCUCUUCCUCCCCCCUCGCUACAUCGUUUCUCGCCGUCUCUCCCUCUCCUACUAUCCCUUCAUCUCUCUACGCACUUAUGCAGGGGGAAAUAUCCCCUCCUUGUAACCUCGUCCACUCAUAACCUUCAGACUGUCCAGCUGCCUCGUCUCCUUCGUCGUCUCGUCCAGGUGACCUUUUAGCCCUCUCUCCGUCGUGGAUCUGGUGGCGAUGCGGCGCGACGCUGUCAUCCUCCUCGCUCUUCUCUGCAUCCUACUGGUUUAUCCGGCGGCAUCAGACUCCACAGCCUGGUCCGAGGACGCAGCCUACGAGAAGGUGCGCUCAGCGCUGGCAGAGGCUAGAUUGAAGCGGGAAGGAACAAAAUUUUGGCCCGCGGAUUGGUGGCCGUCUGACAAGAAGCGUCGGCUUCGAUCGCGGCCACCGCGGACACCGCCGACACCGGGGACAUCUCCACGAUUCAGUCCCGCACCUAGGCUCAGUGAGCCUCCACCUCCACCUCUGCGGGCACCUGGACCUCACUACCGCUCACGAUUCGUUCCACCCCCUCGCCCUCAGCGCUAUGGGUAGCGUCGUGCACCGGCACGAACAAAAUCUCUUCGGAAAAUAAGCCCAAAAUGGAAAAUCACAUGUAAUUAUUUUACCGAAGUAAUAAAGAAAGGAGCUUCUUUUAUUC